AUGGACCCAUGACAAAAGUUUAACCUAACCUUCAUCCGAGUCUUCGCAAAUGCUCACUGAAGAAAAUUCCUAAGACAAUUCAGGGGCCUCUCAUACCCUCUACUGUGAGAUGUUACUAAAGAACCUUAGUAACUUGACUCUCAACUCCACUACCAACCCUUCCCCUCUAGCAGAAGGUUCACCCGAGCAACAGGAUAGAAAAGAAACAAUCUUCCAGGACAUCAGAGGUGGCUAGACUUACAGGAGGAAAUUAGUAAAAACAUUGCUCUCUGUG
rnacentral:lncRNA from 1 species